AAUUUCUUUCCAGGCUGUAGCGGUGCUCAGCCUCAGUUCCUUCCCCUGGCUGAGCCUUAGGGGCCGCUCCCACCGGCUCCACGUGGUGUCACUCUCGAACUGUCCUGCGCGGGCAGCACAGCUUUCGCCCGGCCAUCCGCCGCCUCCAUCGCUUCCCUUGCAAACAAAGUUCUCCUGGUAACAGAGUGUCUUCAUUUGGGGCUACUCAAACAGUGUUGGACGAACUUUAUCCCCGGAGUAAUUUCACUGGAGUGCAUGUGGCUGCAUGGGGUCUGUCUAUAAAGGGAUUUGAACCAAUGCGUGCUGAACAUUUAUGCAGGAAAUUGUCGAGUUAAAGAAAGAAGCAGAUCAUCUCAUGACAAAGCAGAUGCCUGGAAUCUGUAUUAGAUAAUGUUUAUUAGCUUCCGGUUUUCUACCUCUCUCCCAGAAGAAAUGUAGCUAUUUUAUGUCUCACCUCUAGCAGCAGAUUUGCAUUGAACUUGGGAACACUGACCACAUAAUUCAAGUACAAUGAAAGAAAUUUAUAGGUAAGG
rnacentral:lncRNA from 1 species